rnacentral:lncRNA from 1 species
AUCUUCUUUGUUUUCAUUCAAAAUCAUUCUUUAGGGUCAAAAUUUUCGCUCAGACAAGAAUUAGUUGGAUCAAAAUCGAAGCUUUGCGAUUGCUAUUAUAUUAUUUUUAUAGUUCACAGGUCGUAAAUGAAUGUCAGUUGGCUUUGAAUAAUUUCUUGUGUAAAGGUUGGGUUUAAUUGUAUUUAUCGUAAUAUCUCUAUUAGUUUGUUAUUUUGUGGUAGUUUACAAUUCAUAGAUGAAUCUCGAUCGGCUUUGAAAAAUUUUUGUGUGUAAAAUUUAAGUUUAAUUGUAUUAUUUUUAUAUCAAUUUUAUCGUAUUAUUUUGUUGCAUUUUACAGGUGAUAGAUAAAUGUUGGUCGGCUUUGAAUGAUUUUUUUAUGUAAAGGUUAGGUUUAGUUUUAUUAUUUUGAUAUCUCUAUUAUUGUGUCAUUUUGUUAUUGUUUACAGGUGGUAGAUGAGUGUCGGACGACUUUGAAAAAAAAUGUGUGUAAAGAUUAUAUAUAAUUGUAUUAUUUUGAUGUCUCUAUCAUUGUAUUGUUUUGUUGCAAUUUACAGAUGGUAGAUGAUGAUGAUUUUGAUGGCCUUGAUGAUAUCACUCAUUUGAAAGUUGAUCCAAGCAUGCCACAAACCUCAUCUAAAAAAUCCAAAACUCCCCUGAGACAUACAUUUAACCUCCUUAAAUAUGAAUCAUCUUAAAACCCAACAUUUUGAUGAUGGGAAGGCAAUAUAAAAAUUUGAAAAGUUUAAGGGUCUUGAAAAUUACUAAGUCCCCAACACUUAGUGAAAUUUUUAAGCCUUGGACCCCUUAAGCAUGCAACGAUGAGAUGAAUCAAGCAAAGAUUAUUAUGGGGUAUUGCAGUUUUUAUUCAAAAAAGGGUCCUGUACCUCGUUUUGAUGGGUUGUAAGAUGAUUUCUAACACACUAUCUACCAUACUUUUUGCCCUAGCUAGUGUUUGUUAGUUAAUAGAUUAUAUCUCUACUAUUUUUCUACUAUUUUUGUUUGCUAUUCUUUUUGAUUAAACAAAAAGA